AGGACGAACGCUGGCGGCGUGCUUAACACAUGCAAGUCGAGCGGUAAGGCCCUUUGGGGUACACGAGCGGCGAACGGGUGAGUAACACGUGGGUAACCUGCCCUGUACUCUGGGAUAAGCCUGGGAAACUGGGUCUAAUACCGGAUACGACUGGCCAAGGCAUCUUGGUUGGUGGAAAGCUUUAUGUGGUAUGGGAUGGACCCGCGGCCUAUCAGCUUGUUGGUGGGGUGAUGGCCUACCAAGGCGACGACGGGUA
rnacentral:rRNA from 1 species